CGUCUUUUCAUACUGUAUUUCAAAUCGUUCGAUAUAACAUUAUAUUUGCAUGUCUGCAGCUCGUAUUGUAUUGUAUUUAUAGUGUUUUAUCUUGGUUGUAUAUCUGUCGUUUUGGGACUAUGCUGUUACAUGGAGUUGUUUUGUGAUUUUAGGCUCAGAACCAGACAUGUCAACGCAGUGGGUGCAUGCACAACAAACUACUGGAAAAGCCUGGGAGUAUCCUCUGACGUAUGGACAAUGUCUUGGCGAGUCAAUGAUUGAUGGACAAUCAGCCUAUAAUUCAAAAGCGGUUUAAUUUUGCAUAAUCAACAACAGUGGGAAUGCUACAUAUGACAUACAGGUGCCACAUAGACCACAGAGAAAAGCGUUGCGCCGCUUACAACAUGACAUACGCUUGGGAAAUCAGCUGAUUCAUCUAGAUGUUCGCUGGAAAAUUGAGGAAAUAUUUAUACAUUCUUACAUAUCAAUAUUUUUCGAAGUUGGCUCAUUUUAAUUUGUUUUCUUACCUGGAUAG